rnacentral:rRNA from 1 species
AUACGGAGGAUCCGAGCGUUAUCCGGAUUUAUUGGGUUUAAAGGGUGAACAGGCGGCCAUUUAAGUCAGCGGUUAAAUCGUGGGGCUCAACCCCAUUCUGCCGUUGAUACUGGGUGGCUUGAUUGCGGUCGAGGUUGGCGGAAUUCGUUGUGUAGCGGUGAAAUGCAUAGAUAUGACGAAGAACACCGAUUGCGUAGGCAGCUGACCAGACCGCAAAUGACGCUCAUGCACGAAAGUGCGGGGAUCGAACAGGAUUAGAUACCCUGGUAGUCCGCACAGUAAACGAUGAAUACUUGUUUUCGGCGAUAUAAUGUCGGAGGCAAAGCGAAAGCGAUAAGUAUUCCACCUGGGGAGUACGCCGGCAACGGUGAAACUCAAAUGAAUUGGCGGGG